AACCCCUUCCAUCAUAAAGCCCCCCAUAGAGACCCCCCCCUCCUGACUGCUCCCUCCCCAGCUGGGUAAAAACUUCAAGAACACCGAGAGCAAGAAGCAGCUGGAGCUGCUGGCCUCCCAGCCCAGCCACCAUUUUGUCACCGUGCUCAGUGACUUCAAGCACCUGCGGGGGCUCUUCAGGGAGCUGCAGGACCGGAUCUACGCCAUCGAGGGCACUUCAGCUCAGCACCGCUUCCAUUUGGAGCUCAGCAACGCCGGGAUCAGCGCAGCCAGCUUCGAUGGCCGGCUGCUGACGGGGGCGGUGGGGGCUGACGGCUGGGCAGGGGGGCUCCUCCAGAUCGACCCCCCCCCAGAAAGCUUCAUGCCCAACCCAGAAGAGGACGGAGCCAACGCGUAUCUGGGUUAUGCCGUGGUGGGGGUCCCGUGGGCCGAGCGACCCCUGCUGGCUGUCGGAGCCCCCCGGCAUCGCCAUGUGGGGAGCGUGGAGCUGCUUUGGGGGGGGGACGGGGGGUGGCAGAGACUGCAGAGACUGGAUGGGGAGCAGGUGGGGGUCUCUAUGGGGAGUCUAUGGGGUGGGGGGAUUUAUGGGGUCCCUGUGGGGUCUCUAUGGGGUGGGGGAUUUAUGGGAUCCCUGUGGGCUCUAUGGGGUGGGGGAUUUAUGGGGUCCCUGUGGGGUCUCUAUGGGGUGGGGGAUUUAUGGGAUCCCUGUGGGCUCUCUAUGGUGUGUCUAUGGGGUGAGGGGAUUUAUGGAGUCUCUAUGGCGUGGGGGCCCCUAGGGGGUCUCUAUGGGUUGUCUAUGAGGUGGGGGUUCCUGUGGGGUCUCUAUGGGAUGGGGGUCUCUAUGGGGUCGUUAUGGGGUCUCUAUGGGUUGGGGAGAUUUAUGGGGUCCCUAUGGGAUCUUUGUGGGGUCUCUAUGGGUUGUCUAUGAGUCCUGUGGGUCCUGUGGGGUCUCCAUGGGGUGUGUGUGGGGUGGGGGGUUCCUAUGGGGCCCCUAUGGGUCUUAUGGGAUCUGUACGGGGUGGGGGUCCCUGUGGGGUCCCUGUGGGGUCCCUGCGGGUGCCCACGGCUCCCUGUGUCCCGCCGUCCCGCAGGUCGGCUCGUACUUCGGCUCCUCGCUCUGCGCCCUGGGCGGCGCCGGCCGCUCGCUGCUGGUCGGAGCGCCGCUGUUC
rnacentral:lncRNA from 1 species